AGAGUUUGAUCCUGGCUCAGGAUGAACGCUAGCUACAGGCUUAACACAUGCAAGUCGAGGGGCAGCAGGACGAUAGCUUGCUAUGUUGCUGGCGACCGGCGCACGGGUGAGUAACGCGUAUCCAACCUUCCCCUUAGUAGGGCAUAGCCCGGUGAAAAUCGGAUUAAUACCCUAUGUUGUGUCAUGAGGACAUCUGAAUAACACUAAAGAUUUAUCGCUAAGGGAUGGGGAUGCGUCCGAUUAGGUAGUCGGCGGGGUAACGGCCCACCGAGCCCUCGAUCGGUAGGGUUCUGAGAGGAAGGUCCCCCACACUGGUACUGAGACACGGACCAGACUCCUACGGGAGGCAGCAGUGAGGAAUAUUGGUCAAUGGGCGCGAGCCUGAACCAGCCAAGUAGCGUGCAGGAUGACGGCCCUAUGGGUUGUAAACUGCUUUUAUACGGGGAUAAAGUGAGGGACGUGUCCCUUAUUGUAGGUACCGUAUGAAUAAGGACCGGCUAAUUCCGUGCCAGCAGCCGC
rnacentral:rRNA from 1 species